CAUAUGCAGAGCUUCUUGGUAC
rnacentral:piRNA from 1 species